rnacentral:sRNA from 1 species
AUUAUAUAGCGAAUCUUCACGUCAUGAUCCUGCGACCGAAUAUGUCAUUGGCAUCUGACGGGCUGAAAUGAGCUUCCUAGUGAUCGAGUAUGUCAUUGAUCAAACUGGGCUUCAGGGGCUCCGUCUUGCGAUCGAGUGAGAUGCAGUGAACUCGAGAUUGAAUGGUCCAGCGACCCUGUGAUCGAGUGCAAUCGAGUGGAUGUCAUGAGAUGGUGAUCGAGUGGUUUCUUCGGCUUCUCAUCUCUUCUUUGUUCUCAGCUUGUCUGGUUGAGUGCAGAAUGAGCAGAUAGGCUUCCUGGUGAUCGAGUGGUGAUCGAGUGGUUCCGAUGGGGUGAUUCCUCCGGCUUCGCGAUUGAGUGAAACUGAGCUGCUUGCUUCUCUGGGGUUGCGAUAGAGUGAUUUGCCCUGGCAGGGCUCCGAGGCUGCGAUAGAGUACUUUUGCUGAAGGCGUCAUUGGGCAUUCUGACUUCAUGUUCUGUUUUUCCUCUGUUUGAACUCCAAAAGUAUCCAAAGUACCUGAAAACAACCAACUAUGCCAUGCACAUGCAAUCCUAAUGCAAAAUCGUCCUAAGUAUGUAAAACACACUAAAACGACUCCUAAUGAGAUGAAAUAUGGAUGAAACAAUGACAAAGUGGUGAAGAAUGAAUGCCUAAAUCAUGCAAAUUAUAGACAUAUCAACUCUCCCAAACUUAUUCUUUGCUUGCCCUCAAGCAAACAAGAAGACAUAAGCAGAAGGAGAGGUUUGAAGUUGGGGAUUCAGAACUAAAGCAUGAGAUAUGACAAUUAAGAUCAAUGUACCAGCUAACAGUUCUAAGAUGUGAGGUGAUCGACUUCUACUUAAAAACUUUAGCCAUGCUCUGUUAUGAUCCAAACCUACACUCAAAUGCACAAUGCGUCAAGAUCAACCAAUCCCUUUAACAUUCAUUAAGUUCAAAAACAUGAAUCAAGAUAUGCAUCGCUAGUGAACUCAUUUGGCUAAUGACAGGUUAUGAGACAAAGAUGGUCCCUUUUUAGUGGUUCAGAUUUUAAUAGCAGGGGACUCUCAAUGAAAAAGGACUGAGCUUUAGAAGAAUGCUAAAGGUAAGUUCCAACCUAUGCAUACAAGAAUAGCACCCCAUCUACCCAAUGACAUAAACCGUGAAUAACAAGUAGAUGGUCCUAUCUCUAAACCCAAUGAUGAUCCUAAGUCUACCCUUUUGCACUAAAGGCAUAUUUCGAUUUUUUCUUGGAUCAAUGUUUCCUUUUCUUUUCUUUGGCUCUUGUUCUUAAGGAGAAGCUUUUCUUAAACUCUCUGAGUCUAGUCUAGUGAAUUGGGUUUUUCUUAAACUCUUAUGGCUCUUAUCAUUUUUAUUUUUUUUCUGUUUUUGUUGCCAUCUAUUUUUGUUUAGAGCAUAUCUUAACAAUUCUAUGCUUCCCAAACAUUCACUAGACCACAAUAUGAUUUUCAGCUUCCUUCUCCUAAAGACUCUAACCCAUUUUUUUUUAUUUCUUUUUCUUUUCACACUCAAUCUCAAUCCCCAAAUAAGUUCCCACCUAGUCCUACCAAGUCCGAAAACGCGGAUUAGAACUACAUGAGAUACUACUCUUGUCGGCUCAAACCUAACACGUUCUACCAAGCUCAAUCCAGAAAAUAGGCCUCACAUGCUCGCACAAAAUAACAUGGCUUGAAAGAAGGGUUGGUUAAGGGUGGGGGAACUACUCCAAUAAUAGAAGCAGCUACUUGGAUUAGCAAGAGUGGUGAAUAAGUGAAAGAAAAUCCAAAUAUGUAUUCAAAUAUGGUGCGGUUUCUGUCAUGACAUGCAUCGAGUGAUUUCUAUAGAACAUGGUGCGGUUUUACUUCAAAGUCAUUCAAAUACCUCAAAGAACUAAUAACUCAUUUUAGUGAAUCAUCAUGCUUACAAGGCUAUUUCCUCAUUAUCCCCUAUGCAUAUGCAACAAUCCUAUAUGAAACACUCUAGACUCGAUUCUAAAUGUAAUGCAACUAAAUGAUCACUCUAUUUUUGUGGAAUUCAUUUUCAAAAAAUUUCAAUUCUUUUUGUUU